GUCCGUUUCAAUAUUUAGGCCGUCAUUUUUUUAUGAAAAAAAGUCAUCUGAUACGGCUUCAGGGACCAGUUGAUAUCCGGUAGAAGAAGAAACGAACUUUUACUGCCUAUUAUUUUGUGGAUGUUAAACAAGGAAUGGUAGGCUACAUCAAUAGCAGAACCCCAGCAAGUACAACGUUGGUCAUUAACAAGAUUCCUCGACGGCAGACGUGGACUGUAAUUUUGUCUUUGAGCAGAUCCAGUCUUUAGAAGACCUGCAAGGGCUGGAGAAAAAUAUGAGAUAAUAAGAAAAAGAAGGCAAUGAAGACCUAUGUCACCAGAAUAGGUGGAGUUGACGGAAAAUUCCAUGGUAAAAAAGGCCAUGCAAAGCUGUCUGUCGAAUGGUGUCAUGGCCAAAAUGAACAUGUGCGGGAAAAAAACAAGUUCGCGUUUGGGCAAACUUCUCUUUGCAAAAUCAUAAUAGAAGCUGUCACUGAAUCUCGCCAGAAAGCGACACAAGAUUCCUGUCAGAAAUGUAUGGCACAGUAUCUGAAGUAUGCUCCAGAAAGGCAUGGCGGUGGUGGACGCCAAACUAAUUUGGUUAAUUUAUAGAACCUGUCGCAGAAUACCAGGGACCAGACUGCCAUUCAUGUCUAUGAUUGAUGAUGCAUGGCGACGAUGGACAUUGAAAUACCAAAAUAAAACGAUUAUA